CUUUACUAUUAAUAAAAGGUAAAAUUAGGCUGUUAUUAGGUAAGGUGAAGUAAUUAUAGUUGAAGCUAAUAAAAUCCAGUUAAAAACUAGGAUUAGAUACCCUAUUAUUCUGGAUGCAAAUAAUAAGAUACUAAAUUAGUAGCAGUUAGUUACUCGAAAAUUAAAAAAUUUGGCGGUGAUUUAAUCUCUCCAGAGGAACUUGUUUUUUAAUCGAUACACCACGUAAAAUCUUACUUGCUUUUGUGUCUUAAAUGGAAGGUCAGUUUGUAUACCAUCAUUAUCAGGUAAUUUCAAGAGAAUAAAUUACUAAUCGAGAAUUGUUUAUAAAAAUUAGAUCAUGGUGCAGCAUAUGGGUAAGGUAAAAUGAGUUACAAUAAAUUAUUUUAGACGGAGCUAUAAAAGAAAAACUUUAUAGUAAAGGAGGAUUUGGUUGUAUUACAAUUUUAAUAUGUUUGUAUGAUAUAAGCUCUAAAUCAUGUACAUAUCGCCCGUCGCUUUCGU
rnacentral:rRNA from 1 species